rnacentral:rRNA from 1 species
UAGGGAAUCUUCCACAAUGGACGCAAGUCUGAUGGAGCAACGCCGCGUGAGUGAAGAAGGUUUUCGGACCGUAAAGCUCUGUUGUUGGUGAAGAAGGAUAGAGGUAGUAACUGGCCUUUAUUUGACGGUAAUCAACCAGAAAGUCACGGCUAACUACGUGCCAGCAGCCGCGGUAAUACGUAGGUGGCAAGCGUUGUCCGGAUUUAUUGGGCGUAAAGCGAGCGCAGGCGGAAGAAUAAGUCUGAUGUGAAAGCCCUCGGCUUAACCGAGGAAUUGCAUCGGAAACUGUUUUCUUGAGUGCAGAAGAGGAGAGUAGAACUCCAUGUGUAGCGGUGGAAUGCGUAGAUAUAUGGAAGAAUACCAGUGGCGAAGGCGGCUCUCUGGUCUGCAACUGACGCUGAGGCUCGAAAGCAUGGGUAGCGAACAGGAUUAGAUACCCUGGUAGCCCAUGCCGUAAACGAUGAGUGCUAAGUGUUGGGAGGCUUCCGCCUCUCAGUGCUGCAGCUAACGCAUUAAGCACUCCGCCUGGGGGAGUACGACCGCAAGG